CCCCAGGCCACCCCCCCGAAGUGCAGCUCCCUACCUGAGGGUGGCGCUCUCCCCCUGCCGGACCGUCACGUUGUCCAUGGCUUUGGGGAAGGUGGCAUCUCCGCUGCGCACGGGCACUCCUGUGGGCACAAGGAACAGCAGCCUGAGAGACACGACCACGAGGCACUUCCAGGGCAGGAGCAGGUGGAAAAUGGAUCAUUCCACUCAGAAUGGAACCGAGGUGUGAAGAAGACAAUGCCUGUCAGGGGUCAGUCUGCCUGGCUCUAAAUCCAGAUCCACCACCCAGGAGCUUGGGACCUUGAGCAACGGGCCAGACUUCUCCGAGGCCAAGUUUCCUCAAUGGUUAGCAUGAGAGACUGGAACACGGAUAUGUGGUGUCUGAAGACUAAGUUCCCCAGAGCUGCCAGAGGCCUAUGCUCAUCACAACACUUUGUACGUGGCUCAUGAUUAAUAGAUGUGUUAGGGUGAAUUGUUUCAGGUUAGAAGUUCCAUCUAUGGACCCACUCAGGGUCGGAUCAACCAGCCAUUUAAAAAUGAACAGUGAAAAAAAUAAUAAAAAUAAAAAUGAACAGUGGCCUUCAUCAUCAUCAUCAUCAUCAUCAUCAUCAUCAUCAUCCUGCUGUGUGUCCAUCACCAGAGUACAUGCCUCACAAUUUAACAUAAUUAUUUUAACACCUCUAUCAGGAAGGUAUUAUUAUUAGGUUAAGAAAUCGAUGCGUAGAGAAGAAAGAUUAUUCCUAGUCAUUUCUAGAAAUUCAAGGGUAGAGUCUUUACCAGGCCCCCUCAUGGUUCCCUGCUCUAUCACUAGUGCCCAUACCAGUUCCUGGGAGAGAGCAGGUUUUCAGUAAAUACUUAUUCAAUAAAUAAUAAAAAGUAGUCAUGUAUCUCCAACUCUUAGCCUGCAGUCUCACAGAUAUUAUAGCCACCCAAGAAUCACAUACCAAAUAUUACAUAAUCAAAUAUAUUUGUCCUUGUUUAGAUUUUGGAUAUGACUUUAUUGGUAGCUAUAUAGCUUGAGGUAAAGAAAAAGAAUUAGAAUUAUAUGCCUUGUGCUCAAAAACUACUGAGGCUGCACCACACUAUUAUUUAUAUUGUAAAAAGCUCU